rnacentral:sRNA from 1 species
UCAUAUACUUCCGCGUACGAUGGCCAAAC